rnacentral:rRNA from 1 species
GCCGUUGACAAAACGGAGGAAGGUGGGGAUGACGUCAAAUCAUCAUGCCCCUUAUGGUUCUGGGCUACACACGUGCUACAAUGGCCGGUACAGACGGACGCAAAGCCGCGAGGUGGAGCAAAUCCUAAAAAGCCGGUCUCAGUUCGGAUUGCAGGCUGCAAUUCGCCUGCAUGAAGUCGGAAUCGCUAGUAAUCGCAGGUCAGCAUACUGCGGUCGAAUACGUUCCCGGGCCUU